CCUACGGGUGGCAGCAGUGAGGAAUAUUUGUCAAUGGGCGCGAGCCUGAACCAGCCAAGUCGCGUGAAGGAUGACUGCCCUACGGGUUGUAAACUUCUUUUAUAAAGGAAUAAAGUGAGGCACGUGUGCCUUUUUGUAUGUAUUUUAUGAAUAAGGAUCGGCUAACUCCGUGCCAGCAGCCGCGGUAAUACGGAGGAUCCGAGCGUUAUCCGGAUUUAUUGGGUUUAAAGGGAGCGUAGAUGGUUUGUUAAGUCAGUGGUGAAAGUUUGCGGCUCAACCGUAAAAUUGCAAUUGAUACUGGCAGUCUAGAGGACAGUUGAGGUAGGCGGAAUGCGUGGUGUAGCGGUGAAAUGCGUAGAUAUCACGAAGAACUCCGAUUGCGAAGGCAGCUUACUAAACUGCCACUGACAUUGAUGCUCGAAAGUGUGGGGAGCAAACAGGAUUAGAUACCCGAGUAGUC
rnacentral:rRNA from 1 species